rnacentral:rRNA from 1 species
UGGGGGGUGCCCUUGUGGCGAAACUUGACGCAGCAACGCCGCGUGGAUGAUGAAGUUCUUCGGAAUGUAAAGUCCUUUUGUAGAGGAAGAACAUGCUGGUUUACCGGCAGUGACGGUACUCUGCCAAUACCCACGGAUAACUCUGUGCCAACACCGCGGUGAUACCGGGGUGGCAAGCGUUGUCCGGAUUUACUGGGUGUAAGGGGUACCCAGACGGAAUAAUAGAUUCGGGGGUACAUCCAUCUGCCACUUUCAUGACAUGCUUCCAAUACUGGAAUUCGACACCGUCAAAUGCCAUCAUUGCAAUUCAGGAGACGC